rnacentral:rRNA from 1 species
CAUGCUCCCGGCCGCCAUGGCGGCCGCGGGAAUUCGAUUAGAGUUUGAUCAUGGCUCAGAUUGAACGCUGGCGGCAGGCCUAACACAUGCAAGUCGAGCGGUAGAGAGAAGCUUGCUUCUCUUGAGAGCGGCGGACGGGUGAGUAAUGCCUAGGAAUCUGCCUGGUAGUGGGGGAUAACGCUCGGAAACGGACGCUAAUACCGCAUACGUCCUACGGGAGAAAGCAGGGGACCUUCGGGCCUUGCGCUAUCAGAUGAGCCUAGGUCGGAUUAGCUAGUUGGUGAGGUAAUGGCUCACCAAGGCGACGAUCCGUAGCUGGUCUGAGAGGAUGACCAGCCACACUGGGACUGAGACACGGCCCAGACUCCUACGGGAGGCAGCAGUGGGGAAUCUUGGACAAUGGGGGAAACCCUGAUCCAGCGAUGCCGCGUGUGUGAAGAAGGCCUUCGGGUUGUAAAGCACUUUAGGUGGGGAAGAAAGGUAACGAGCGAAUAACUCGUUGCUAUGACGGUACCCGCAGAAUAAGCACCGGCUAACUCUGUGCCAGCAGCCGCGGUAAUACGAAUCACUAGUGAAUUCGCGGCCGCCUGCAGGUCGACCAUAUGGGAGAGC